UGGGCCCUGUUUUGUACGCGGAUAAGCAGCAUUUCUCUGACCUUCGGUUUGUUUAGGGAGUUUGAAUGCGGCGCAGGAAGGACACCCGCCUUGCGCGGGACCGGAUGGCGCCGACUAGAGCACCCACCUCAUCAAUGAGGUUUCAGAGGUUCUGUCAUACGGCAAAGCGGGGCUUUU
rnacentral:other from 1 species